CUUUAGGAGCCACCACGCGCCGGU
rnacentral:siRNA from 1 species